CUGUGACUCCUGUCGCCCAAAAAAAAAAAAAAAAAAAAAAACCCUUUUUCAGAGCCAUCCCACAUUCCCACUCCCACGAGCCCUACCCCCACCUCUUCCAAAAAAAAGGGUUUGCCCUAACUUCUCACCGCUGCGGCCCUGCUUCCGACCCCUCCUCCUCCCUCUCUUCCCUUCCGGCCGCUCGCCGAACGCCAUUGAAAGCCCUACUCUUCAGAAAUCGAAGAUCAAAGAUCGGGUUCUUCACUUUUUAGAAAUCAAAACCCUCCUCGUCGCCUCUUCCUCUUCCUCUUCCGCUUCCGCAGUUUCGCUAUCCAACGAUAGAUCAGUAAUCGGGUGGUUCUUUACAAACCAGACUUUUGGUGUCUAUUGUCUUACAAUUGAAGUUUACCAUGCAAGGAAUGCACAGUUGGGCCAUUUCCAAUUUCGAAAAAGAUGGAAAAUUUUCUUUUAUGUUCUUAGAAACUGUUUGUGACUAAUUCUUUCCUAAUCACAUCCCAUCAUAUUAUUUUGUUCCUCAAUUUGUUCUUGUUGCAACCUCUUAUCCUGUUUUUUUUUCUUGUCACAUCGAAUUUGUUCCUCCGUUUGUGCCAAUUUCAUCUUGUAUUUAGUUUCUAACUAUGCUUGUAUGUGAAUCUUUUAUAUUUUAUAUUUAAAAUAUGGACUCUCUUGAUCUCUUAUUUGCUUAA